ensembl:lncRNA
UCGGCUAGAAUUAGCUUUUCAAAACAGUACACUCAGAUGAACUCGCUAAGAUUUUUUAAUAUUUUUAAAAAAUUUUUCCUUAUAAGUUUACUCAGACUGAAAAAAAAAAAAGACGUUUUCUCACACAUAUUAGCAGGAGCAGUCUUCAGCGAUGUAAGAAAAGCUUACUUCCAUUCAGACAGCUGUUUCUUAGGAGAGUACACAAGAGUUCGGGCCCCAGGGCCUCACUGCAGGCUGUCACUGGCCGAUAAACGCCAUUUCAGGCUACUUACACAAGCAUUCUGAGCUUCCGUCUCCCCGUCUGUAAAACGCGGAUGACACCGUCAACCCAGAGAAACACUGACGGGCACCGAGUAAGUCUCAGUAUAGCUCUCCAGUGACGCAACCGAAGGAAACAAGCAAAACCUGCCUCUGGGAUUCGCUCUUCACCAAUAAUUACUCCAGCUUUACAGAGUCACAGGCCACGUCGCGAGUGCUUGUAUCCAAACUUGGUGGUGGCUGAACAAGAAGAGACCCUUGACCAGGAUGAGUGUACAUUCUGCUGGUGGAGCACCCCACACAGCAACUGGCCGGCAGCGGUGUGGAACAGAGGGCUGCGUUCAUACACUCAAAGCUAUUGUCAUUUUUCUUGUCAAAGAUGGC